rnacentral:rRNA from 1 species
ACGGCAGCGCGGGCUUCGGCCUGGCGGCGAGUGGCGGACGGGUGAGUAAUGCAUCGGAACGUGCCCAGGAGUGGGGGAUAACGUAGCGAAAGUUACGCUAAUACCGCAUACGUACUGAGGUAGAAAGCGGGGGAUCGAAAGACCUCGCGCUCAUGGAGCGGCCGAUGUCGGAUUAGCUAGUUGGCGGGGUAAAAGCCCACCAAGGCGACGAUCCGUAGCUGGUCUGAGAGGACGACCAGCCACACUGGGACUGAGACACGGCCCAGACUCCUACGGGAGGCAGCAGUGGGGAAUCUUGGACAAUGGGGGAAACCCUGAUCCAGCAAUGCCGCGUGUGGGAUGAAGGCCCUCGGGUUGUAAACCACUUUUGGCAGGAAAGAAAUCGCCUGUGCUAAUACCACGGGCGGAUGGCGGUACCUGCAGAAUAAGCACCGGCUAACUACGUGCCAGCAGCCGCGGUAAUACGUAGGGUGCGAGCGUUAAUCGGAAUUACUGGGCGUAAAGAGUGCGUAGGCGGUUUUGUAAGACAGAUGUGAAAUCCCCGGGCUUAACCUGGGAACUGCAUUUGUGACUGCAAGACUAGAGUGUGUCAGAGGGAGGUGGAAUUCCGCGUGUAGCAGUGAAAUGCGUA